rnacentral:rRNA from 1 species
AUGUCCUGGUGGAAAUUGUGUGUUCCUAAAAAUCAAGGAGGAAUGGGAUUUCGUGAUAUCCACUGUUUAAACUUGGCUUUGCUCGCCAAACAGGCAUGGCAUCUGUUGGAUAAUCCAGAUUCCUUGUGUGCUUCUAUCCUACAGGUAAAAUAUUACCCUGAUGGUGAUAUGUUAAAUGCGAAGUUGAAGAAAGGCUCUUCCUUUACAUGGCAAAGUAUUAUGGAAGACACAAAUACACUGAAACAUGGCUAUACUUGGAGAGUGGGAAAUGGACACAAUAUCAAUAUUUGGGAAGAUGCCUGGAUUCCAAGCUAUGCAACUAGAAAAAUUGUAACGCCUAAGGGAGGCAACAAGUUAACUAAGGUAGGUGAUCUCAUUGAUCCUACUUCUAAUAAUUGGUAUGAAGAUCUGAUUAGACAAACUAUGUGGCCAAUCGAUGUACAAAGGAUUCUUUCAAUUCCCCUACCGCAACAUGAUAUGCAAGAUUUCAUUGCCUGGAAUUAUACAAAAAUGGUAUUUUCUUGGUUCGAUCAGCCUAUUUUAUGGAGUGGGACCACCGGGAAGCAAAUUAAAACACUCUAA